UUACUUACUGUCCAGGGAAAUCUUUUAUCUUUACUGACAUCUGGGAUAUUAAGUGGUUCCAUGGUAUUUUUGACAUACUGAGCAUACAUGUAAUUGAUUCUGUUCGCAUCACGUUCCCUGUGGAGAUAACAGAGAUGAGUUCUUUCUGUGCAGUGAAAAAACGCAGGCAAAACAGAGUCAAAUAGAUGAUUAUAAGAGAAACAUACCAGUCUUAAAUUAUAGAGCAAAGCGUAUAUCUUAGUUGGAAAAUGCAGCUUUAAACAUAUUUGAUGAUUUACAACUUUGGUAGUUACUAUAACUGAAAUGCUUUGAAAAAACAAAGACCCACAAUUUUUCAGCUAUCUAAAACAAGUUUAAAAUGUCAUUAAGUAAUCUUAUUACCACUGUUAAUGGACGUGUUGAUUUUUGUGCUGUUUAAAAAUCCAUAUGAAUUUUCCCUAUGUCUUAUUUUCUCAUCAGUUUAUAGAAUGACUAAAGUCUAGUGUCUGUUUUUACUUCCUCAGUUAUUUAUUUAGUCUAUCCAUUCCAAUAAAACAAUUUUUUACACAUUUCAGACCAAGGGAAAAAUCGAGCAGGCCUAGAAGAAUUUUAUUAAGCUCUUCUCUCUUCUUUUUUCUGCUUUAAAUGGAAAAAAAAAUUUUUGAACUUACAACAUUUUCCCAGUUUCUUGCUUAACAGGUUGAUCACAAAAGGUUAACCUGAUGUCACAGGGUUCAUAAGUGCAGUGCCAGUAAUGGAGUUGGGAAAACAGAACAGAACGCAUCUUUUCAUCCGGAAACUUCCUAUGUUCCUUGGUGAUGGGGAUGAAUUCCACAAAGAGGGUCAAGUUAUAGAAAUUUACUCCAGCCAUAAGUAUGUGCCUGUAUUAACUGUAAGAUCACUAACUGAAGAAAAUAGGAAAGUCUAAUAGUGGGAGACAUUUCAAAAUAAAAUAUGUGCCUCAGGACAAAUGUCCACUUGGUCUGAGUUCUCCAAGUGCUGAUCUUUUCCUGUCUUCCAUCCUUCCCACUCAGCCUGCCACACUGCUUCUAGGACAGUGGUUUCAGAUGAUGUUCUCAAUCACUGUGAUUCCACAAAGAUUCCUCAAGUCGUGGCCUCAUUCCUGGCCAAGAUAAUUGAGUCUUUCCUUUCUUUGCUGUACAUUUUAGGUUAAUAGUAAUUUGGUCAAAUCAGGUACUGACUGUAUGUCCAGUAUUAUAUACAAGUGAUAAAGAAUGAAAGGGAAAUGACAAUAGUAACACAGGAAUACAUGAACUUCAGACUGAACAUUUUCUGAGCCUAGAUUGAUAAUGUGGGAAGGCAUGCAAAAUGUCAGACACAUCAGACCUAGGACAUUCCUGGGUUUCUAUUUCAUACAUAUUAUUUGGGUAGAAUCCCAAGAAAAGGUUGUAAGUGUAGGAUGUAGGUUAACAAGACUAUUUUAAAACCACAAAUAUUUCAUGGACAGCGAAAGUCUCACGAAAAGAAAACAAGAAACUGCAGUAAAGAUAAGAAAAAUGAAAAGGUAGUUACAGAGAGAAAGAAAUACACUGGAGCGGAUAUCUUUGUCCAAACCUCUUUUAAAAUGAUGAUGAUGAUGAUGACGACUUUUAUUGUUCUUAUCAUCAUCCUUAUGUCAACAGUCGGAGACAGAUGAAACCCAAAUAGUUAAGCAACUUGCCAGAGAUCAUAAAUUCAGAUGUAUAGGCACUGAUACAGAGAAGCAGGAGUAUUAAAAUUACUUUUAAAUCAAUAGAAACCUAACUCUUUUUUCAAUUCCCUGAAAAUUUUAAGUUUUCCUGAUGGUUACUUUAGUGAAAAAUUAGUAUUAGAUUUAUUAAGGUUAUGUGAUAGCAUCUUAUCUCUUACUCUGUAAAAAGUGCUAAUAAAUUCUUACUUCCUCCCCUCAAUAACAAAAGACUGAGCACUUCGUCCAUGAGAGUCACCCUUAGCAUCAUGGGGAGACAAACUUCUAGAGACACAUGGCCGCUGAGGAUAAAGACUACAUUUAUCAGCCACCCCAGUGGCUUGGGAUCAUCAUGUGACUAAGUUCUAGGCAACAGGAUGUAAGUUCUAGGCAACAGGAAAUGUGACUGCUUCUAGAAAGCUUACCUAAAAGGCAGCUGAUGUAUGCUCUCUGUGCCUUCUUUCCCUGCCCCCCAUCCUACCAUUUGAAACGUGGAUAUGAAGGCUGGAGCUGCAUCCUGGACCCUGAAGGGAAGGGCCACUCCCUAGAGAUGCAGAGUAGAAAGCCUGCAGGUACCUGGGUCCCUGAGGCCUUUGUAGAACAGAGCAGCAACACAGAGCCUGAGCUGCCUGCCUCUGGGUCUUUACAGGAGAGAGUAAUAAUAUUACAUUCUUAUUUAAGCUAUUUUUACUUUGGGUUUUUAUGAUUCACACUCAAACCUAAUCCUGACUAAUACAAUUGGUAACAAUGAAAGCGCCACAUGUGGAGAAGAUGGACAGAUAACCCCUUGGUGGAGUGGGUUGGAGAAGACGGGGUAUUAGGGAAAAUGCGCAAAAGGCUGGUAAGAUUUAAGGAUGCAUAGAAAGACAUCAAGAAUGAAAAGGAGGGUGAAAAACAGUAUAAAAACAUUGCUGAAAUGGAAGAGUUCUAGGUAUAUUUGGGAAACAUUAAACAGCUACAGAUUGUUAGGAAUAAAGUGAUGGUUUCAGGCUGAAGAUGUUAGGACAGGUAGUGGAUGAUUUUGAAAGUGCAAUGCAAAGGGAUAGGAUCUUUCUUUAAAUAGCAGGAAUAUUCUGGUAGCCUUGCAAAUGUGCCUCUCAGACCUACAACUGCAGGAGACCUAAAUGACUAGUGUCUCUAGUCACUGUGCUCUGAAACCCAGGACUGUGUUUGUACUGCAGACACACUUCCCAGGGCUGCUCCUGGAAAAAGAUGGAGCACACACAGCAGGGGCACUAAGGUAGCCCAGGCUUGGGAGACCCAGGAUGCUUCUGACAGGAGGCUUUGGCUACAGAACUCCCCAACAGCCUGGCCAAACUUUCCUUAGAACUGCUCGGCUGCCUAAGACUCUUCCACACAAUGCUCUUUCCUUCUUUACCCUCUCUUUCACUCUGGGUCAGACUUGUGUGGGGAGCUCACGGCUCUCUCAUCCCCUCCCAGCUCCCUCCCCCUUUACUCUCACAUGGGGUUCCCCUAAUAAAUGUCUUACACAUUUAAUCUA